rnacentral:rRNA from 1 species
UACGUAGGGUGCGAGCGUUGUCCGGAAUUACUGGGCGUAAAGAGCUCGUAGGUGGUUUGUCGCGUUGUCCGUGAAAACUCACAACUCAAUUGUGGGCGUGCGGGCGAUACGGGCAGACUGGAGUACUGCAGGGGAGACUGGAAUUCCUGGUGUAGCGGUGGAAUGCGCAGAUAUCAGGAGGAACACCGAUGGCGAAGGCAGUGUUCUGGGCCAGUACUGACGCUGGGGAGCGAAAGCGUGGGGAGCAAACAGGG